CAUCGCUGGGUAGGCCCCUCGUGUAUCGUCGUGGACAAGGUGCUUGUCAUAAUGGUACGCUUUGGCCUAGACAGAGCGACAAGAAAGAAAUAGCGGUAGCAUGUGCGCAUGCGUAAAAUUCGCCAUCCCGCGACAUUCGAGCGCGAGCGCGGUACGGGAACUGAGUGAACUGUAGCAGCACCCGUUGCCGCUGCCCACAGUUGAAGAGGACAUGUCUUCAGUUGACCGCGUGCUCACCCUCUUCGGAUACAAGCUGGACCGCAAGCUAGGAGACUUCAAGGCGCGCAUGCGCGAAGGAAGGGGGUCGACGAAUACCGGCGCCAAUCCAUGGAGUCCAACCACCGUGGUUCUGGAUACGUUUCGUCGUCGAAAGUGCGGUUUCGGACGCUUGGGGAAAUGGUGCGAGAACAAGCAGCGACGGCAAUGCGCUACGUCCAGGGACUAAAUUCUAUGCCACUGGAUUCGACUAGCUUAACGACUCGCUACAGUUGGCUCUACGAGUGGUUACGGUUGGAGGACUGCUACACCGCUACCUGUCUUCGCUCCCGUCGCUCGCGCGAGAUAUCUAUUGAAAUAUAAUACAUUUCGCAAGUC